rnacentral:rRNA from 1 species
GAUGAACGCUAGCUACAGGCUUAACACAUGCAAGUCGCAGGGUAACAUGAGGAAAGCUUGCUUUCCUUGAUGCCGACUGGCGCACGGGUGAGUAACGCGUAUCCAACCUUCCCAUAACUACGGGAUAACCCGUUGAAAGACGGCCUAAUACCGUAUGAUAUCGUUUGCUGACAUCAAAUAACGAUUUAAGGUUUAGCGGUUAUGGAUGGGGAUGCGUCUGAUUAGCUUGUUGGCGGGGUAACGGCCCACCAAGGCGACGAUCAGUAGGGGUUCUGAGAGGAAGGUCCCCCACAUUGGAACCGAGACACGGUCCAAACUCCUACGGGAGGCAGCAGUGAGGAAUAUUGGUCGAUGGGCGAGAGCCUGAACCAGCCAAGUAGCGUGCAGGACGACGGCCCUAUGGGUUGUAAACUGCUUUUAUGUGGGGAUAAAGUGCGUGACGUGUCAUGCAUUGCAGGUACCACAUGAAUAAGGACCGGCUAAUUCCGUG